ACACGGGGGUGUCGGUCAGAACCGGCUGAGAUGGGAACUGUGCGUUCCAGACCCUGGAAACCUGAUUUGGAUCAUGCCAACGUAGGGAGAUGGGCU
rnacentral:ncRNA from 1 species